AGGAACCGGAACGUCCGCAUCGUCGUCAUCCCUGCGGGCCGGCGGAUCCCCCCUCCAAAAAAAAGAAAGAAAACACGACGAGCGUUUGCACCGACAAGCACCAUCAUCCACAUAAUCGCGCGGAGACGGAGACCGAGACCGCCAACACACACACACACACACACACACACACACACACACACACACACACGCACAGCAGCGUGGGCGUGUAGUGCCUACUUAUCUUGCUCGCUCGCUCUCUUUUUAAGCAGCCAACAUACCGCGCAAAUGGAGAGCGGCAGCGAUUCCUCCGAAGAGGGGACCAUGCAGUUUAAGGUGGUUGUACUGGGCAACGGUGCCGUUGGCAAGACUUCCCUCAUCCGCCACUUCUGCGAUAGCGGCUUCACGAAGAGCUACAAGCAGACCAUCGGAGUGGACUUCUACUCGCGCAAGGUACAGCUGCCGCACAGCCACCCCCCUGUAACGCUGCAGCUGUGGGACAUCGGCGGGCAGCAAAUCGGAGGCAAAAUGCUGGCCAACUACAUCUACGGCAGCCACGCAGUAUGCCUCGUAUAUGACAUCACCGAUCUGAACUCCUUCAAGGAUCUUGGCGACUGGAAGGAGUGCGUAGACAAGGUGUUCGCAGAUGCGCCGGCCGUGGACAAGCCCAAGAUGGUACUCGUGGGAAACAAAGUCGAUCUCCCCAAUCGGCAGGUUACAGACGAAAAUCAAGCAGCCUUUAGCAAGAACUUCAGCAUGCCGCACUGCACCGUGUCGGCACAGUCUGGAGAGCGGGUGAACGCCAUGUUCACUCGCAUCGCCGCAACACUGGCGGGGGUGGAAAUGAAGCAGCAGGAUUUGGAUUUGGCAGAUCGCGUUGCAGCAAAUGUGGUGAGCCGACCAGAGGAGCGGCAGUCGGCGCCGCGGGCGCUGGUUCUGCAGGCAACCAGCAACUCACAGGGAAAACGAAAGAAUGGCGACUGUGCGGUCAUGUGAGGGGAGGGAUGGGCCGCCCGUUCUCGCUCUCCCUCGCCCCCAUUUGGCUUUCCCGCAGCACCUCGCUCAUGCCGUCCGUCGACCAAGGAGACGACGUUACAGCGCAACCCUCCUUUUCUUGUUUUGCGGUAUCGUCGUCGAUGAGCAGCCUCUUGCAGCUGCACCCGCAAGAAAAAAGGGGAAAACCAAAGCAAACAAAGAAAAUGUAUCACAGCAGCGAAACGGAAAGCGAGUAGGGAGGAAAAGUGAUAGGAAAGCCUAAGCGAGAGCGUUGCGAGGUUUGCUUGAUUGAGUGGCUCUCACCUCUUCUGCUGCUUUUCCCCCGCGCCCUUUCGAUUUUUUCUUUCUUUCUGCACAUUGCUUGAUUGCCUUUGUGUGGACGUGUGCGCUCGUGCACACUGUCGUGUAAGAUGUGGUGGCCAGCGUUGAUUGCGUUCGCGCCGACCGAAGCCGCCUUUUGAGAGAAGGAAGGGGGGAGAGACGGAGGCGAGAUACAUGCGCCCUUGACCACGCCGCCCCCCCCUCACCCCACCCAAGCGCAUGGAUUGCCUGUGCGGGCCGUGUCGUUGGAUGCUGCAUCAUCAAUGUGCAUCUAUAUAGUACACACAGACGCAAGCAUACAUUAGUCAAAAAAAAACGCGCUAAAGUCAAUCGUUUCGUCGCCCUUUUGGUGCUGCGGCCGCGUGCCUUUCAUCUGCCGCUUAAUACUGCUGCCUUCGUGCGCCUCCUAUGUGCUGAAAGCGGCCAUAGUGGUGCGAAAGACGAGAGGCGGCGCGAAGGCAAUGGGAUUUGCCGCCCCCAAUCCCUUUCCUUCUUUGUUGUAAGAAAGGUGAAGAACGUAGCACGUCCCUCGAUUCCCCCGGUGAUAUGGGGGGGGGGGUCAGUGCAACAGUUGCACGACUGUUCUCUCUUUUCCGUUGUCUUCUGUGCU
rnacentral:misc_RNA from 1 species